rnacentral:rRNA from 1 species
UCGAGGGGCAGCGCGGGUAGCAAUACCUGGCGGCGACCGGCGCAAGGGUGCGUAACGCGUGAGCAAUCUGCCCGUGUCAGGGGGAUAAGCGAUGGAAACGUCGUCUAAUACCGCAUAACAACGGCCAUGGCAUCAUGGAUGUUUGAAAGAUACGUCGGACACGGAUGAGCUCGCGAGACAUUAGCUAGUUGGCGGGGUAACGGCCCACCAAGGCUGCGAUGUCUAGGGGAACUGAGAGGUUGGUCCCCCUCACUGGAACUGAGACACGGUCCAGACUCCUACGGGAGGCAGCAGUGAGGAAUAUUGGACAAUGGUCGGAAGACUGAUCCAGCCAUGCCGCGUGGAGGUUAAGGUCCUAUGGAUUGUAAACUCCUUUUGAGAGGGAGCAAUAAGUGUCACGUGUGACACGAUGAGAGUACCUUUCGAAUAAGCAUCGGCUAACUCCGUGCCAGCAGCCGCGGUAAUACGGAGGAUGCGAGCGUUAUCCGGAUUUAUUGGGUUUAAAGGGUGCGUAGGCGGUUUUGCAAGUCAGCGGUGAAACGCACGGGCUUAACCUGUGACCUGCCGUUGAAACUGCGGGACUGGAAUGCGGAUGCUGUGGGAGGAAUGUGUGGUGUAGCGGUGAAAUGCAUAGAUAUCACACAGAACACCGAUUGCGAAGGCAUCUCACAAAUCCGUGAUUGACGCUGAGGCACGAAAGUGUGGGGAUCAAACAGGAUUAGAUACCCUGGUAGUCCACACUGUAAACGAUGAUAACUCGCUG